AAGAAAACCGCGUGCACGACCUCCUCCGCCUCCUCCCGCGCCUUUCGCCUCCCGCAACCGUGCCCUUCGCUGCAGCCGAGGCAGACGAGCCCCAUGAAGGGGAGGUCCCUCCAGGGACGGUGCAGUCGGCGAGCGCUGCGUAGGCGUCGGCGAGGACGUGGACGAGGGAGGUGGCCCUGUUGUGUGCGAUGGGAGGCAGAUGCCGACGGCGCUGGCGACGAGGAUUGAUGCCGACGGCGCUUGACGGCCCUGCCCUGCCGCCGCCGUCGGCGGUGGCUUGGCACCCCAGGACACGGCCUGGGUGACCGGCGGUGCUGGGUGCGCCCAGAAGGAGCAGGUGUUAUUGCCUCACCGGUCGUCGCUGCCCGGCACGCGGGGGGCGGCGCUGGGGACUGUCGAGUCACGGCGGCCGCCCCGCUUGGAGAAGCUGCAUGGUAGUCGUUGCGCCAUGCUCAUCUGAUGCCUAGACGACAAGGAGCACCUUGCCAACAUCCCUAAGACAGGCGUCACUAGCGGAUGCAGCAGUGCAACGUAACUCCUCCUCUGAACUCUGCUCUUCUUCCUCCUGUGCUUUGCUGAUUACACUCACUCUCUAAUCUCUCUCUGAUAUGUGGGUACAGCUUGAGCUUCAGUGAGGUGUAGUCUAUGAUUGUGGAAGUAAAAACAAGGGGAAUGUUGGCGUUCUUGGAAAGAAUUUGUUAGUCCAAAGAAAGAAAACGAGAGAAGAAAAGAAACUGAAAAAGGAAUGUAAUAUGUUUGUGUAUCUGCUGUAUAUGCAGGAAAGAAUUCAGUGAUGGUGUUUGGACUCUGCAGAAAUGCUUCUUAGUACAAAAGAAUCAAAGAAUCUUGUGCGGUAACGCGAUGGCGCUGGGCACAAGAAACGUUGUCUUGAGCUGUGUCUCCACAGCCAUGUCACGGCAGACCCAUCCGUCUCCGUGCCCGGGCGCUCUCCCCCGCUCCAGCGCCGCAAUCCGGUCCGAAUCAAUACCUUCCUCCGUCGUCGAUCUGCGGCCCCUUCAUGCUUCAUGCCCGUGGUGUGCUCGACAUGCCGCAUCGACACGCUGCACUGUGCCUAGCGUUCUGAUGGGAUAUGGGAAGAGAUGGGUGAAUGACCUAUAGGAUUUAAUAGCCCGUGCUCCCUUGCUAUCUGCCUGCAACACAAGCUCAUACUCUACUACAGGGAGGCUGCGGUCAUACGAGGACAUCAUCAAGAUCUUCGAUCGGUGCAACCAACUGAUUGAUGUUGCUGUUUGGAUGGCCUGUAGUUCGAGUCAUUCUGGGUUUUCUACUGUUAUACCUCGCAUCUAGAAGAUCUUUGGUGGGUUUCAUAAUCGUAAGGUCAAAUGGCAUUAUACAAAUUGAGUGCUAUUACCAUGCAUGUGACUGUUCUGUUUGAAGUAAGUCAAACUCUAUUAGGUACUCCCUCCAUUCCACAAUGUAGUGCUUCCUCUAUCCUCGUGCUUCAAGUUUGACCGUAAAUUUAACUAUCAAGACUAAUUGCGGCGGGAGCAAAAAUUAUAUCAGUGAAUUCGUAUUCGAAAGAAGUUUUCAAUUAUACAAUUUUUUCUCCUGCCGCAGUUGGUCUCAUUGGUUAAAUUUAUAGUCAAAGUUGGACCUCGGGAAGCGUAGGCGCACUAUAUUUUGGAAUGAAGGGAAUAUGUGAUGUUUCCAAAUUGAAUAAGUAGAAGUGCACAUCUGACAUAUAUCUCGAAUUAAUGUUUCUAGAAAUAAUGAGUUAAUUUUAUGAACACCGAUGGGCAAACGUUUUAUCUUUAUUUGAUGAUCCAGAGAGAGGUCAACUUCCAUUUUUACUGUCAUUAACCUUUUAUUGCCAUCUUGAUAAGCACAUGGUGAAUUAUGUACUAAGUGUAUAUUUCAUGCUUGUUAUAAGGUCUCAGAUCAAUGUUGAUGCUCUUGCUUCUCCUUGUAUUUCUCAUAUAUUAGAAGCUGCUGGAAACAUUUAUAGUUUCCCUGGCAUGUUUAGCAUGUAGUUAUUUCCCUUAUUUAAAUGCAGAUGAAAAAUAAUAAUCUAGAUGCAUCUAUUUCUCUUUUUGGACCAGGGGAGUGUUCCCCGUUUGAAUAAUAAACACCUAGAGUGGCAGUAUUGCUAACGGUGAAAUGCAUUUAAAAUAUCUGUAGGUUGUACCAGCUUGAAGAAAUAUUCUAACUGAAAAUAUCUGCAUAGGUUAUACGGGCCAGAGUAUCCAUUGUCGACGCCAUCUUCGCUGUUGUACCCAUAUUUGGGGCCAACCAAACUGUGUAGCCGUCUGUCAUCUUGGAAGUCUCCAGACGAGCUCGUGCCCAAGAAGCUCCGGUGUCAGGAUAGAACGGUAAUACAUGCUUGUGCUUUAAAUAUAUGUUUAAACCAUAAAAUUGAUUUGUUCCUUUCAAUGAUAUGUCAACAUGCAUUUCCAAGUAUAUGCACUACAUGUUGCUAUCAAAUGACUCACUUCUAAUGCAUUGCUUCUUAGCUGAAUAUAUGUUUGUUUGUUAUACUUUUUUCCUUAGAAACUAUUGUUCUCAAGUGGAGAGUGGAGACACAAUUGUAAAGGUCAUCCCUUGUAAUCUCAACUGAAAUAAGCGGAUGUCUAGCUGAUGUUGGCAUACAUGGAAAUUCGUCUUGUCUUUUAUUGGUUAACACCCAAUAGGCUUCACCAAAUUGUUUUGAAUUUUGCUUUUAUACAUCAACUAGAUGCUUGUCAUUAUAUUUAAUUGGCAACAUCAUGUAAACCUGUGUACAAAAAAAAUCUUGGAAAACUCAGGUGGCAGUUAGCUAUGAAGUAUAUCCAUUUUAUUACAACUUGCUUAUGAUGUACUAUACUUGUCCAACACAAAACUCAAACUCACAACACAGGUACCUAAAUCAUAUUUGUAAAUCAACAUCAGAAAAGAAAAGGAAAAAACAGUUGGUUCCAACGAACAGGUCGAGCAGCUCACGCCGCUUGCAACUAUUUCUUUGGGUACAUUUUCAUGCUUCAUCAGGAUAGAGGGAGGCAUCACCAUUCACCAAGUCUAUGUAUCUUUCCCAAGCCAGGCACAGAUGAAGUCUCGUCUUUUUUUUUAGAAACGAUGUCUCAUCUUGUUGAUGCACGUGAAUUUCAUGUCCAUGCUUACUAGUAAAUAUAAGAGCGUUUAGAUAACUACUUUAGUGAUCUAAAUGCUCUUAUAUUUGUUUACGGAGGGAGUACAUAUGAAUGAUAUUGAUAGAUGCUUGCUUGAUUGGGAUGUGCACAACAACGUUCCAUGUUGAUUUGUCAGCAUUCUUAUCAAUUAGGAAAUCUCCAUAACCCAAAAAAACAGAGUUAGAACAACUUUGAGCAACCUGCCGUUUAGUUAUCACAGUUGCAACUUGCAUGAAACCAUAUGCUCAACAGAACCAGAUUAUCCUACAACUAAAACUCCAACAUCAUAGUAAUUCUCUGGGUAAAUUUUGAUCAAACAUUUCACAAUACUAUGAGUAGUUGCCACAGUUCAGGAUAGUGUGACACUUACCUGUCAAUAGAAUAACACCAAAAGUAUAGUCCGAUAAUUAAGAUUCAGGUUAUUCCAAGAAUAGCACAUGAACUAGAAGUCUAACAUCAUGCACAUUGGUCAACUAAUAAAACAUAUAUAUGGCUAUAAGCCUAUUGCCACCAAUGCUUCAUUGAGUUUCAUCCUUGUUAUGGCCACAUUGGUUUGCCCCAUACAUAAAAACUUGCAUACUCUGAAACACUAAGAAUAUAAAA